AGGCUUGUUCCACCCCACGCCUACCCCUGUGGCAUGCCUGCUGCUGGAGACAUCACACUACAGGGAACAUUGGUGCUGGCUUCAGAAACCCUAUUCCUGCCCUACAACUCCUCCUUAUCAACGCAUGGAGCUGGAACUGCACACAGCCCUGGGUGGUGACGUCAUUCUGCUCUCCCAGAAGCCAGAUCUGCAUACUGCCUAGUCAGCUGGUGUGAGUGCUCAUUCAAGGGACUCCAGGGCAACUGGCUGGCUACAGCCCCAGGCUCAGACCAGGAAAAUACACCCAGGAUUGGCAGAAAGGGCAUCAGGAGGUGUGUUCUAACUGCAAAUGCAGCUGUUGGUGACAGGGAAGCUGCUUCGGGGUAAAGUGCAUGUGUCCCUGCAAUAGACGGAAUCUCACAGAUUCACAUGAUGAAUCCAAAGCCUGGGUGACAACGGGAUUAGACGGGCCAACCAGCCUGUGGGUUCCUGGUGUGACAAUGAAAGUCAGGCGUAGGUCCUGCUCAGAUGUGCGCUGCCAGCCGGGCCUAGAGCUACUCUGCCGGAACUAGUGAGCACGUACUUGAACCCGCACACCGGAGGAAAGUAGGUCCAUCCUAUGCUGUUUGAAGCUGAGAAGCUGUCGGGGCUGUACUGUGAGGUGCCUUCAAGAAGCGACCUGCAGCAGAUCUUCACCUCUGUCCCCUGGAACUUUGGGUGCCCCCUACUUGGUUAUGCAGAUAUAAAGAGAGCAGUCCCCACACCCUAUGGGACUGGUAUUUGGGGACCAGCCUGUGCCCGCAGGAACCCUCAUCACCCGAGACUCAGCUCAGCUGGGACCUGGGCAGCAGCUGCCAACCCCUGCUGGAGCAAGAAUCAACUGACCUGAAAGGCAAAGACAUCCUUGACCAGAGCGUCCCCGAAGACAAAGCUGGAGCCGGCCACCGUGUAGCUCAGGAAGACCUGGGGGACGCAAAUACAGGAAGUGGGACUAGGAAGAAAGGAGGGGGAACCAUGGCAGAAACCCGGAUGGAAUGAGCAGGUCCAGCCCAGAUGAAACACGGACACCACGGACACCAGCCUUCCUGCCUCGAGACGUCCCAGCUCUGGGGCAUAGUCCCUGUGUGUGGCCUCCAACAACAGCGUUUAAUUAAUGAAACCUACAAGAGUGAAGACGGUAAACUAUAUGCUAUAUGUACUUUAUCAUAGUGAGUGUGAGGCUAACCUGAACUACACGAAACACCCUCAAAGCAAAACAGACAUACAACUUCAAGAGCUAGGUGUUCAAGGCCAGCCUGGGCUACACGGUGAGGCUGUCUCAAAAAGUAAAGCAAGCCAACAACAGCCACUGAAGUUGAAGGGGCUAGCUCAGUUGACACAGUGCUUGCCUCGUUGGAACAAGGACCUAACUUUCGAUUCCCAGCCGGCACAUGCUUUUAAUCCCAGCACUUGGGAGGCAAAGAUAGGCAAAUCUUUGUGAAUUUGGUCUACAGAGUGAGAUCCAGACCAUCUAAGGCUACACAUAAUGAGACACUGUCUAAAAAGAAAAAAAAAGGUAGCUGAAAAGAAAAAGAAAACAAAACCAAGUAUGACUUCAAUAAACAUUAUUUCUAAA